CAGUAGCCGCGGUAAUACGAAGGGUGCAAGCGUUAAUCGGAAUUACUGGGCGUAAAGCGUGCGUAGGGGGUUUGUUAAGUCUGCUGUGAAAUCCCCGGGCUCAACCUGGGAAUGGCAGUGGAUACUGGCAAGCUAGAGUGUGUCAGAGGAUGGUGGAAUUCCCGGUGUAGCGGUGAAAUGCGUAGAGAUCGGGAGGAACAUCAGUGGCGAAGGCGGCCAUCUGGGACAACACUGACGCUGAGGCACGAAAGCGUGGGGAGCAAACAGGAUUAGAUACCCGCGUAGUCCCUGUCUCUUAUAC
rnacentral:rRNA from 1 species